rfam:Myotis lucifugus cont2.33093, whole genome shotgun sequence.
GGCGGUUCUCUGAUGAUGUACCCUGGAAUCGGGCUCCCUCCUCUCUGGUUCCGAGUGGGUCAUCCGAGAACCACA